rnacentral:rRNA from 1 species
UACGAAGGGGGCAAGCGUUGUUCGGAAUUACUGGGCGUAAAGGGCUCGUAGGCGGCCAACUAAGUCACACGUGAAAUCCCCAGGCUCAACCUGGGAACUGCGUGUGAUACUGGAUGGCUUGAAUUCGGGAGAGGGAUGCAGAAUUCCAGGUGUAGCGGUGAAAUGCGUAGAUAUCUGGAGGAACACCGGUGGCGAAGGCGGCAUCCUGGACCAAUACUGACGCUGAGGAGCGAAAGCCAGGGGAGCAAACAGG